UACAAUUUAUUUGUCAUUUAGACAAGGGAAUUAAAUGUUAUGACACAAAGCUGGGUGGCAGUGUGAGCUGCGAGGAUGCUAUGAGGCUGCAGGGUGACUUGGAUAGAUUGGGUGAGUGGGCAGAUGCAUGGCAGAUGCAGUAUAAUGUGAGGUUAUCCACUUUGGUGGUAAGAACAGGAAGGCAGAUUAUUAUCUGAAUGGUGUCAGAUUAGGAAAAGGGGAGGUACAAUGAGACCUGGGUGCACUUGUACAUCAGUCACUGAAAGUAAGCAUGCAGGUACAGCAGACAGUGAAGAAAGCUAAGUUGGCCUUCAUUGCGAGAGGCUUUGAGUUUAGGAGCAAGGAGGUCCUACUGCAGUUGUACAGGGCCCUGGUGAGACCACACCUGGAGCAUUGUGUGCUAUUUUGGUCUCUUGAUUUGAGAAAGGACAUUAUUGCAAUUGAGAGAUUGCAGUGUAGGUUCACCGGGUUAAUUCCUGGGAUAGCGGGACAUAUGAUGUAAGAAUGGGUCAACUGAACUUGUAUUCACUGUAAUUUAGAAGGAUGAAAGGGUUUCAUAGAAACAUAUACAAUUCUUAAAGGAUUGGACAGGCUAAAUGGAGGAAAAACAUUUCCAAUGUUGGGGGAGUCCAGAUCCAGAGGUCACAGUUUAAGAACAAGGGGUAGGCCAUUUAGACUGAGAUGAGGAAAAACGUCUUCACCCAGAGUUGUGAAUCUGUGGAAUUCUCUGCCACAGAAGACAGUGGAAGCCAAUUCACUGGAUAUAUUCAAAAGAGAGAGUUAGAUUAGCUCUUAGUGCCAAAUGAAUCAAGGGAUAUGGGGAAAAAGCAGGAAUGGGGUACUGAUUUUAGAUGAUUUAGCCAUGAUAUUGAAUGGCCUACUCCUGUACCCAUGUUUCUAAAAGCAUCACCACGCACUAUACUGCUCCUCUGUAGGUACAAAGCUAUAUAUACUGGUAUGUCCAAGGAAUAUACAAGUUGCAAGUUCUCUGCUCAUGCCAGCUCAAGGCUAAUUGAUCUUUGAAGGUCAAUUUGACAUUUGUCAAGUUGAAAAGUAUGAAAUACAAUGUUAGAAUUUUUAAAAAUAUUUUCGGCAGACUAAUUGAUGUUUGCAGAUUCUCAGAGGAAACAGAGGGCAGAAUGGAGUUGUAUAUAAUUAUAUUAAAAAUUAUUGUUGAAAUUUGCAAGUGCAAUAGUGUUACAUCCUCAGUGUGCUCACAAUGGAUUCUCCUUCAAUUUUUUUUUAAAUUAGUGAGAAUGUGUGGAGUUUGACUUCUUUGGAUUUUUUGAAAGUAUUUUAUGAUAUAUCACUUGGUGAUGGUAUUGGCAAUGAUAGAUCAAAGUAUCAAAGGUGAAACUACAGAAUCACCAUUGGAAUUACCAUUUAGGAUUCAUAUCAGAGGCCACUUCUAAUUCUGAGUCCAGUCAUGGACAUGAACCCCACUGGUGGUGGGCACCUCAAACAGAAUUUCAGUCAAUCCCAUUUUUAUCAAUACCAAGUAUUUGUUGGUUCUCAUUCUGAAGUGGUGGUAAGAAUUCCUGAAAAAAAUGAACACCCAGUUCUACCUGUCUUGGGAAAAAUAUUUCAAACUGGAAUAUCAGCUAGUGGAAACUUGCAGUUUACUUGAGAAAAAUUAGCAGAGUUAACAGAUUACAAAACUUAAGGCAGCUGAAAUCAAUGAAAAAAAACCCUGGAUAAUUGUGUUGUGUUUGAAAGUCGACUGGAAGAAUAUCCUUUUUUUUUAAAUUGAUCAAAUCAAAAUACAUUUAUUUGAAGUACUUCAGAACUAAAACACACAAUAUUAAAUAUCAAAUGUAAUAUUGUUUACGUUCGCCUUACCCAAUAAACUACAUUACUGCUUGUGAUUUAUUUAAAAGUCCUUCCUGUAGUUUAUUAAAAAAUUCUGCUUUUUCUCUUAUGACAGGUCAUUACUUUGAAUCACCAGAUGGCAUGCAGGAAAUAAAAUAAAAAUAAAAAUUCCAGGUGCCCUUCAAUAAAUAAUGUCACAUUCAUUUUUAUUGACAUGGUUCACUAUUUGUAAGCUUGGUCCAAAAGGGGAGAAAAUGUUUGGGGGAGCAUUGAAUUUUGUUUCUCUUUACCACAUCUGGAUUUUUUGUGAGUGCAGACUUCUUGUUCACACGUGCUUGCAUUGGUGUAUGUAAAUCACAAAGUCUGGGCUGUUUUGGGGCGGUGAUUUACUGCCACAUUUCCUCAGCUGGUGAACAUUCCAAGUCAUGGAUUCCUCCUGAAGGAAGUGACUUGCAAGACCCACUGGAGCUCUGCUUCACUAAUUAGCUCUUUGCCUGAAUAGGGGACCCCAAGGUCAGAAAAGAAACAAAGUAGGAGCGGCUGGAAUAGAGUGAGAAGUCAAGAAAUGCGACUCAAUUUCAUUACCAUGAGGGUUCCUUGAUAAGCAGGCAACUAAAAUGAUUUACUCACUCAACACUCUUUCAAAAUGGAGCUUGCAGGGUUGUAGAAUAGCAGGGGGGCACAGAGAAGUAAUGAGGAAUUCAAGCAACAUGUGUUAUUUAUAAUGAAAAAAAAAGAAUGGCCAGAACGUUCGGACCACUGUCUGGUUUUCAUGGAGAAGGCUACAUCAAUACCUUGUUGCUUAAAUCCUACAAACAACCUAUUGACGAAAAAAUACACAAGCUCAAUAGCCCUGGCUGAGUCUGACAAUGUGAUAUAGUUAGUUUAGAUUUUAAACAAACACUCACAGUUUGAUCUGACUUUGGUGAAUCUUUUCAGUCUGAUAAACAAUCACGUGGCGCAUCUUGAGAGACUGUUACUUUGUUACAGCGAUGCAAUUACCCUGCAGGGGACCUUGUAAAGCACGGUGCGCCAAGAUCUACCGAUUUGGAUGACUUAGUUAGAGAUUUCUCUUACUCAAUCCAACACGCUGUGGACCACCAGCACGCACGGAUAGGAAAGCAACAAUUGCAUAACACUUGGUUUAUGUCAUAAUAAUUUAAAUAUGUAAUUCAAGGAUUAAUUGCACUGCAGACCAGUGAUGCACUUCCGAUGGUGCAUCUGUCCAGCCGGCACCACAAGGUCAAUGCUUUGAUGAGAAUAUCCUCCCCAGCGGUAUCCAUAGGAACACCGUAAAAAAACUUUUUUUUUCCUUCUUUACAGUCAAGACUUUUAUGGUGAGUUUAAAAUAAAUGGACAGUUAUAUGUAAAUACUUCCCGGGAUUGAUUGUGAAAUGUUAGCUUACGAAAUGUCACAUAUAGAAUAACAACAAUGAAAAAUAAUAAAAAGUGUUAGUGCUGUUAAAACUUAGUAGGAAGCCAAUUUGUAAUGAGAUUGGAGUCUUAAUGCAUUUAAAUUCCAUUCACUUUACUACAAGAACAGGACCACAAAAUGUAUUAAACAAAAGAAUGAGAGAAUUGCCAUGGCUUACUCAGAAGUACAAACAAUUAUUGAUUCAGAAGUGGCUUUCUUGGUCAAGUAUUGCUAAAGAACAGCUGUUAUUGUGCAAGGGAAUUUCCAUCAAUGGAAAUGUAGAUGUUAUGAAUCAGAAGUCCAGACCAAUGAUGAAUACCGAGGAGCUUCAGAGAGCAUCUAUAGACUGCGCAGGAACGCACUCGUUUCAUUUGUUGGUUUGGAAGUAAAAUCAGCGCUGGGGGCAAUUGUAACAAGGAUCGAAUUCUUACGGUUAAACAUAAUGAAUAAUAGAGGAACACGGCAUUCUGUGGAAUCAUGACUACAUUUCAGAACAAUGCCUUGAUCUAACACAAGCGCCAAUACCUCGUGUUCAGUAUACCUCAAUGCAUUUCAGUAUUGAAACAAGGAGAGGAUUUAGAAUAGUGUAAGAAAAUGAUUCUGAAAUCCUUCUUUCCUCACUCCCCCAUCAAACAAAUGGCUAAAGAACCACAGUACUUAUUAAUUAUAUACUC